UACGUAGGGUGCGAGCGUUGUCCGGAAUUAUUGGGUGUAAAGGGCUCGUAGGCGGUUUGUCGCGUCGGGAGUGAAAACUCAGGGCUUAACCCUGAGCCUGCUUCCGAUACGGGCAGACUAGAGGUAUGCAGGGGAGAAUGGAAUUCCUGGUGUAGCGGUGAAAUGCGCAGAUAUCAGGAGGAACACCGGUGGCGAAGGCGGUUCUCUGGGCAUUACCUGACGCUGAGGAGCGAAAGUGUGGGGAGCGAACAGG
rnacentral:rRNA from 1 species